rnacentral:lncRNA from 1 species
AGAGCACAGUUUGGCUGUACUCACUCUGACACUUUUAUCUGAUUUGGUUUCAUUCCUGGCACAGCUGUGGGGCUGCUGGGUGACCUGGGAUUUUGAGCUACAUCGUCACCACCUGUGAUGGGUGUCAGUGGCAAGCUUCCUAAUCACCUGGAAAUAGAAGGAAAAGGCUACAGAUUGUGGCUCAGGACGUUCAGCCUAGACAUAAAGAAAAAUAUUUUUUGUCACUCGGAGCACAGAGCAGCACUGGGACACGUUCCUCAGAAGGGCAAGCUGGACUGAACUCCAAGAGUGAAUGCAAACCCUGCUGCUUCAGCAUUUUCUUCUUCUUUCUAAAAAGGGCAGUUUUGCUGUCAUCUUUCAGGCUGUCUGAAAGACAGUCAGGAUAUGGAAAGGUGGAAAGGAGAUUUCUUGCAACAUUUCUGUCCAUGGAAGAAAAGGAAAGAAUGAGACGCGACACUCAGAGAAAACAAAAAACAGUUGUUUGAUUACAGGACACAGAAUUCUAG